ACAAACUCACUCUGUGCCUAGUUGGAGUCCCAAGCCAGGGCUUUUUCUGUCUGCCACAGAAACAUUCCCAGGUGCUGUAAUUACUUUGACCUGUCAAGGGCGAUGCGACUGAGCAGGGACACAGGGUG
ensembl:snoRNA